GAGUUUGAUCAUGGCUCAGAACGUACGCUGGCGGCACGCCUAACACAUGCAAGUCGAACGAAGUAGCAAUACUUAGUGGCAGACGGGUGAGUAACAUGUAGGUAUCUACCCUUUGGCCUGGAAUAACACGAGGAAACUUGUGCUAAUACCGGAUAAGUCUUUACGGAGAAAGCUUUAUGCACCAAUGGAUGAGCCUGCACUUGAUUAGUUUGUUGGUAGGGUAAUGGCCUACCAAGACUGUGAUCGAUAGCUGAUUUGAGAGGAUGAUCAGCCACAUUGGGACUGAGACACGGCCCAAACUCCUACGGGAGGCAGCAGUGGGGAAUCUUGCACAAUGGAGGAAACUCUGAUGCAGCGAUGCCGCGUGAGUGAAGAAGGCCCUUGGGUUGUAAAGCUCUUUCGUCGGGGAAGAAAAUGACUGUACCCGAAUAAGAAGGUCCGGCUAACUUCGUGCCAGCAGCCGCGGUAAUACGAAGGGACCUAGCGUAGUUCGGAAUUACUGGGCUUAAAGAGUUCGUAGGUGGUUGAAAAAGUUGGUGGUGAAAUCCCAGAGCUUAACUCUGGAACUGCCAUCAAAACUUUUCAGCUAGAGUUUGAUAGAGGAAAGCAGAAUCUCUAGUGUAGAGGCGAAAUUCGUAGAUAUUAGAAAGAAUACCAAUUGCGAAGGCAGCUUUCUGGAUCAUUACUGACACUGAGGAACGAAAGCAUGGGUAGCGAAGAGGAUUAGAUACCCUCGUAGUCCAUGCCGUAAACGAUGUGUGUUAGACGUUGGAAAUUUAUUUUCAGUGUCGCAGCGAAAGCGAUAAACACACCGCCUGGGGAGUACGACCGCAAGGUUAAAACUCAAAUGAAUUGACGGGGACCCGCACAAGUAGUGGAGCAUGUGGUUUAAUUCGAAGAUACGCGCAGAACCUUACCAACACUUGACAUGUUCGUCGCGACUUUAAGAGAUUAAAGUUUUCGGUUCGGCCGGACGAAACACAGGUGCUGCAUGGCUGUCGUCAGCUCGUGUCGUGAGAUGUUGGGUUAAGUCCCGCAACGAGCGCAACCCUCACUUUUAGUUGCCAUCAUUUAGUUGGGCACUCUGAAAGAACUGCCAGUGAUAAGCUGGAGGAAGGUGGGGAUGACGUCAAGUCCUCAUGGCCCUUACGUGUUGGGCUACACACGUGCUACAAUGGUAUCUACAACAGGAAGCAAGACGGCGACGUUAAGCAAAUCCUUAAAAGAUACCUCAGUUCGGAUUGCACUCUGCAACUCGAGUGCAUGAAGCUGGAAUUACUAGUAAUCGUGGAUCAGCGUGCCACGGUGAAUGCGUUCCCGGGUCUUGUACACACCGCCCGUCACACCAUGGGAGUUGGUUCUACCUUAAGGCAAGGUUUCAAACCCUUGACCACGGUAUAGUCAGCGACUGGGGUGAAGUCGUAACAAGGUAACC
rnacentral:rRNA from 1 species